rnacentral:pre_miRNA from 10 species
AAGGCUCAGCAUUAAGGUGGGUGGGAUAUUAUAACAAUAUGGUCUUCUGUUGUUAUAGUAUUCCACCUACCCUGAUG